rnacentral:lncRNA from 1 species
AUGGUGGCCCCUAAUUCCACUUUUAAAGAGCUAGAACAUAACCUCUCUCCAAGAACAACCAGCAUGCUACGAAACACUGAAAGGGCUCAGGGGAUCACAACAUACAGUCGGAACUUCACAGGAAGAGGUCCUAUGAAUCCCCUUAUACUGCAUGACUAUUACAUGAAAGCAGUUGGCAGACUAACUGGAGAACUAGGUACAGAUGUGGAAUUUGUAAGUACUGCCUUUACUAAAAAUCUGAUGCUUUCACCACAGUAAUAUUGACAAGAGUAUUACCAGAUUCAACUAAAAGAAUUAAGCCCUCCCUUUAAUAACACUUAAAUGCAAGGCAAGAAUCAUUCUAAGAGAAAGGCUAAAGUUCUGUAUACUAAAUCACUCCUGACAGAGCUUCCUGACAGAACUUAUGUAAUGGAUUAGUGAUUUGUUCAGGGUAUGAGGUGCUGGGAGUAGGUUACGGUGAUAUCUGCAUAUUUUUUUUAUCUUAUCAUUUAAAAUUGCCACCAACUCAUGACAGCAAUUCAAAGGACCUUUUGCCUUGGAAAGUAGAAGUAAUAGUCUCCAUAAAAUGAGUUGGCAGCUCUUAUGAACCGUGCAGUACUGCAGAGACUGAAACAUCCUGGCUAGACGUUUAGCUGGUGUUAAUCAGCACAGCUCCACAGCUCCACAUCAGCUUAUUGUCUUUAUUGCACGGUGCUUUAUCUGAUAAGUGACUUAGUAUCAUUGCAGACUCCUGUGUCCUUACUAACUAUACCAGUUUAAGUUUGGCAGAGUUCCUGUGAUUCAUCCUUCUCCAUUUAUGUGAGUGGUUUGCUUUUUUUUCCCCUAAGGAUGCAUCAGUAACAUUGCCAAAUUCUAUUUCAUUGCAAAUACUUACUUUUAAGAACAUAGGCAUGAACAUAGAUAGGGAAUCUCCAUGCUUAUUGUCUUCAAAAAUUUUGAUAGUCAGUGUGGCCUGUAUGAAAGUCUAAAAAUACUAUUUUAUUAAAUGCUACCCAUGCAAACAAAGCACAACAUUGUAGAUACGAAUAGCAAAUCAACUUGUUUUGCUUUUUGCUAAUGCAUCAUUACCUGUAAUGGCUUAAGCCCUUUCAGUGACACCUGCACAUUGUCAUGCUGAGUACGUACACAGUUAUAAUUGUUACCAACUAAGCAAUUUUGCAUGUAAAACAGAUUCCUGCUCACCCUUUCACAGCACUGCUGGCUUUACAGUACUUGCAGCUUCAAACUUCUUUGUCUCUAAUGCCUUCAUAUGUGAUUG